AAUUCUGAUUAGUCCUUCACUCCCAGAUGACCUCUCUUUCAAGCAAUGGUUUACUUUGAACAAGGAAGAAAUCCAAAAUUUGCUUAAUGCUAAAACAUACAGUGAUGCUAACUGUUUACUUCCUCCUCCAAAUGAAGAAGAUAUCAAAGCAAUCAGCACUUUUCAAGCAUUAUUUCCAAUUCAAAAGGCAGCUUGGGUGCAAGGAACUGUCAAACUUGCAUAUGGAUUCACCAAAUAUUGGACUACUGCUUGUGUGAAUUGUCACAAAAUUGUGAAUGUUGACAUUGACUGGAUCAUUCAUUGUCCUUCAUGCAAACAGCAAAGUGAAGUUGAACUGAGGGCUCGCAUUCCAAUUAUAAUAACUGAUCCUUCG